rnacentral:tRNA from 1 species
AGCCUUGAGGUGUUUUAACAUUUCAGAUUGCAAAUCUGAAGAAGCAGAUUAAUAUCUGCCGGGGCUU